AGAGUUUGAUCCUGGCUCAGGAUGAACGCUGGCGGCGUGCCUAAUACAUGCAAGUAGAACGCUGAAGCUUGGUGCUUGCACCGAGCGGAUGAGUUGCGAACGGGUGAGUAACGCGUAGGUAACCUGCCUUGUAGCGGGGGAUAACUAUUGGAAACGAUAGCUAAUACCGCAUAACAGCAUUUAACCCAUGUUAGAUGCUUGAAAGGAGCAAUUGCUUCACUAGUAGAUGGACCUGCGUUGUAUUAGCUAGUUGGUGAGGUAACGGCUCACCAAGGCGACGAUACAUAGCCGACCUGAGAGGGUGAUCGGCCACACUGGGACUGAGACACGGCCCAGACUCCUACGGGAGGCAGCAGUAGGGAAUCUUCGGCAAUGGGGGCAACCCUGACCGAGCAACGCCGCGUGAGUGAAGAAGGUUUUCGGAUCGUAAAGCUCUGUUGUAAGUCAAGAACGAGUGUGAGAGUGGAAAGUUCACACUGUGACGGUAGCUUACCAGAAAGGGACGGCUAACUACGUGCCAGCAGCCGCGGUAAUACGUAGGUCCCGAGCGUUGUCCGGAUUUAUUGGGCGUAAAGCGAGCGCAGGCGGUUUGAUAAGUCUGAAGUUAAAGGCUGUGGCUCAACCAUAGUUCGCUUUGGAAACUGUCAAACUUGAGUGCAGAAGGGGAGAGUGGAAUUCCAUGUGUAGCGGUGAAAUGCGUAGAUAUAUGGAGGAACACCGGUGGCGAAAGCGGCUCUCUGGUCUGUAACUGACGCUGAGGCUCGAAAGCGUGGGGAGCAAACAGGAUUAGAUACCCUGGUAGUCCACGC
rnacentral:rRNA from 1 species